GCUAAUGACAUUAACCAUAUGAUUUGCUAAGAAAAUUAAAAGAAUGAACUAACAGGAAACAUACUCAAUAGAUCAGUAUUCAAACAUAGAAAACUAAAAAAUAUAAAAGUCAUCCCUAUCACACCAAUUAAAUCAAUACCACAAUGAUCCAGAAUAUUAACAAGAAGAACAAAAUAGAAAAAGAGAAAUGAACCUUUGUAUUAACGAGGCAAAUCCAUAAUCGGAAUUUUCGCUAGAACAAACUGAAUGACAACCGGAUCUAAAGGUGACCACGCCGGGACCUCGGAUUGGCACCUUCAACAUGCGACGAGCUCAAACCACGCUAAGAUUUAAUCAAAUUCCAGUUUUUUGAAAAUAUAAAUUGCAAUCAGAAAGAAGAAACAGAGUUGUAUUUUUCUUGUAUUUUUUGAUUUUUUUUUUAAAUAUAGCAAAGGAACUUUUCUUGGAACCUCCCUUUGUCUCAAUUUUCCCCUUCCCUAAAAUUUUGUCCGAAACAAAUCUCUUUUCCCCAAUUUCCCUCUAUCUCGUUUUCCACUCUUUCUAUGAGUGUGUAUCCUUUUCUUUUUGUGUUUGAGAUAAUGAAGAUUUGGUAAAAUGUAAGAGGGAGAAACGUUAGGUUCAGGGAGAUGUAAAAGGAAGAUUUCAUAAAAUUUCCUCUUUGUUUUUUUGGGAAGAUUCCGGGGUUAUGCCGCUUUUCUCUUUUUUAGUCUCGAUCCUUUGUUGUUUAGGAGUUAAAGGGUUAUUUUAUAGGGGUAGGGAUUAGGUUUGGAGUGUGGGCCUAGGAGUUAUGGGCUUGAUAAUUGGGUCAAAGACUAAAAACAAAUGGACUACAAGAUUUAUAAAGACGGGAUAAACCAACCUAAAACUAAUUCCUCCUUCUAAAAUUAUGUACAAUUAUAAUAUAAAAAUAUAAAACUAAUUUUAAUUAAUUGAACUAAUCUAUAAAAUAUAAAACUUUUUUUUCUGUUUUAAGAUUAUAUAAAAAAUAAAGAUAAGGUACUAUUUUUGUAUAUUUUUUAUUUAAAUUUAUGAAAGAUACGUAAACUAAGAUAAUUUUUUUGUAAUUUUUAUUUUUUGUGAUGAAAUAAAGUAAAAUAGUCAAAAUUAGCUGAAAUAGCGAUAUUAGGCCUAAACUAAAUAUUUACAUGCUAAAAUGAGUGAAAUUUUGGGGAGGGUCAAAAAUCACAUGUGUACAAACAACCAAAGCAAAUAAGGAGUUAAACAUGAUAUCAACCCUUUAACUUAAUUUGAGACAAUUCAAAGGAAUCAAAGAUCGAGAUGACUAAAGGGAAAUAGUGAGAACUCAAUCUAAUAAGAUGUGAGGAAUCCAAUUGAGUUUAUAAAUUUGUUAAGAUAAAAACAAAAUCACUUCACCCUAAAGAAUAUUACUCUUGUGAAGAAACAAUUAUGUACCUCAUAAAUCAAAAUAUCCCCGAGCUAACUUGGCUCUCAAGUAAAGGCUAACAUAUUUGAUAUUUGAAUCAACUUUAGUAACAUUAGAUCUAACAAUUACUUGAAUAGCUUAUUCGAUUGUUUUCCAAAUUGAUGAAGACGAAUGUCAACUCUACAACCAGUACCUUCCCUUUUUAAAAUCAAACUUUUAAGAAUAGACUAAGGAAGUAGUAUAAGAUAUAAGAAAACUAAUAUUAAAACAAACCUUCUAUACUAAUACAUAAUUCCUACACUACUCGAAGAACACUUAAGAUAAUAAAAUGAACUUUCAUGAGCAUAUUUAGAACUGGAGCAACGUGAACUAGCUUCAACGAAUCUUCAGACAAGAAACCAAUGCCAAUUGAGUCAAGAACUAAUACCAUUCUUCACAUCACAUAAUAUUUUAAAACAAAAUAAAAGGAAAGAGAAGAGAUGAACCUUAGAAUAACCCAAAAUGAUUCUGAAAUUGAUUAAACGAGAAUCUCCAUCACGAAACAGAAGAUUAGAACAACAAACUCGACUGAAUGAUGAACCUCGAACCGGAAACCUCAAAUCGAUGCCGGCAAACUCGAAAACCCCAACGUGAACUUAAAACCAAACAUCAAUCAGAACCCCAUUUUUGGAACAAAAAUCC
rnacentral:lncRNA from 1 species